UAGAAAUUUGAUUUUAGUUUUUAAAUUUGAUUUAUAUUUUUAUUAUAUGUAAAUUUUUAUAGUAAAUUUUUUUAAUAAGAAUUUAUAAUUAAGUAGCAAUAAUUAAAUUUAUACAAUAAAAGAAAUUUUGAUAUAGGAAUAUAUAAUAGUAUUAGUGAAAUUUGUGCCAGCAACUGCGGUUAAACAAAUAAUACAAUUAAAUUUUAUUUAAUAAUAAUUAAUAAAAAUAAAAUUUUAAUUAAAAGUUAAAUUUAUUAGGUGAAAUUACAAAUUUAAAUUAAAUUAAUAAAUUAAUUUAUGAAAUUAUGAAAUUUUUAUUAUAAACUAGGAUUAGAUACCCUAUUAUAAAAAAUGUAAAUUUAAAUAUUAGGGGAGUAUUAGGUAUGUUCUUGAAAUUUAAAAAUUUUGGCGGUAUUUUAGUCUUUUCAGAGGAAUCUGUCCUGUAAUUGAUAAUCCACGAUUAAUUUUACUUAAUUUACAAGUUUAUAUAUCGUCGUAGAUAGAAUAUUUUAAAAAAAUUUUAAUAUUCAAAAUUUAUAAUAUUAAAAGAAAUCAGAUCAAGGUGUAGCUUACAAUUAAGGAGAGAUGGAUUACAAUAAAAGUAUUUAAAUGGUUAUGAUAAUUAACAUUAUUAUAUAAAGUGGAUUUGAUAGUAAUAUAUUUAAUUUAAAAUAUAUGAUUUAAGCUCUAAAAUAUGCACAUAUCGCCCGUCGCUUUCAUUGAAAGGUAAAGUGAAAUAAGUCGUAACAUAGUAGAUGUAUCGGAAGAUGUAUCUGGGUUGAU
rnacentral:ncRNA from 1 species